rnacentral:rRNA from 1 species
GGUGAAUACGUUCCCGGGCCUUGUACACACCGCCCGUCACACCAUGGGAGUGGGUUGCACCAGAAGUAGAUAGCUUAACCUUCGGGAGGGCGUUUACCACGGUGUGAUUCAUGACUGGGUGAAGUCGUAAGAGACUACCUGGAGGCAGCUGGGUUGGAUCACCUCCUUACCUUAA